GUGUCAGCCGCCGCGGUAAAACGUAGGAGCCUAGCGUUAUCCGAAUUUACUGGGCGUAAAGCGCGUGCAGGCGGUUCGGUAAGUUGGAUGUGAAAUCUCCCGGCUCAACUGGGAGAGGUCGUUCAAUACUGUCGAACUGGAGGAUGGUAGAGGGAGGUGGAAUUCCCGGUGUAGUGGUGAAAUGCGUAGAUAUCGGGAGGAAUACCAGUGGCGAAGGCGGCCUCCUGGACCAUUCCUGACGCUCAGACGCGAAAGCUAGGGGAGCGAACGGGAUUAGAAACCCCGGUAGUCCUAGCCGUAAACGAUGUAGACUUGGCGUUGGUGGGGUAAAAUCCAUCAGUGCCGGAGCUAACGCGGUAAGUCUACCGCCUGGGGACUACGGCCGCAAGGUUAAA
rnacentral:rRNA from 1 species